rnacentral:rRNA from 1 species
AGCAGCCGCGGUAAUUCCAGCUCCAAUAGCGUAUAUUAAAGUUGUUGCAGUUAAAAAGCUCGUAGUUGAAUUUCGGGAUCAAUAUAUCGGUCAUGCUUAGGUAUGUACUGGUAUUAUUGAUUUCUCCCUUCUGAAGAACCAUGAUGUCAUUAAUUUGAUGUCGUGGGGAAUCAGGACUGUUACUUUGAAAAAAUUAGAGUGUUUAAAGCAGGCAUACGCUUGAAUACAUUAGCAUGGAAUAAUGAAAUAGGACGUUUGAUUCUAUUUUGUUGGUUUCUAGGAUCGACGUAAUGAUUAAUAGGGAUAGUUGGGGGCAUUAGUAUUCAAUUGUCAGGGGUGAAAUUCUUGGAUUUAUUGAAGACUAACUACUGCGAAAGCAUUUGCCAAGGAUGUUUUCAUUAAUCAAGAACGAAAGUUAGGGGAUCGAAGACGAUCAGAUACCGUCGUAGUCUUAACCAUAAACUAUGCCGACUAGGGAUCGGAUGAUGUUAAUUUUUUAAUGACUCAUUCGGCGCCUUACG